AGAGUUUGAUCAUGGCUCAGGACGAACGCUGGCGGCGUGCCUAAUACAUGCAAGUCGAGCGGACGGAUGGGAGCUUGCUCCCUGAAGUCAGCGGCGGACGGGUGAGUAACACGUGGGCAACCUGCCUGUAAGACUGGGAUAACUCCGGGAAACCGGGGCUAAUACCGGAUAACUCUUUCCCUCACAUGAGGGAAAGCUGAAAGAUGGUUUCGGCUAUCACUUACAGAUGGGCCCGCGGCGCAUUAGCUAGUUGGUGAGGUAACGGCUCACCAAGGCCACGAUGCGUAGCCGACCUGAGAGGGUGAUCGGCCACACUGGGACUGAGACACGGCCCAGACUCCUACGGGAGGCAGCAGUAGGGAAUCUUCCGCAAUGGACGAAAGUCUGACGGAGCAACGCCGCGUGAGUGAUGAAGGUUUUCGGAUCGUAAAACUCUGUUGUCAGUGAAGAACAAGUACCGGAGUAACUGCCGGUACCUUGACGGUACCUGACCAGAAAGCCACGGCUAACUACGUGCCAGCAGCCGCGGUAAUACGUAGGUGGCAAGCGUUGUCCGGAAUUAUUGGGCGUAAAGCGCGCGCAGGCGGUUCCUUAAGUCUGAUGUGAAAGCCCCCCGGCUCAACCCGGGGAGGGUCAUUGGGAAACU
rnacentral:rRNA from 1 species